rnacentral:rRNA from 1 species
AUUGAACGCUGGCGGCAGGCCUAACACAUGCAAGUCGAACGAGUGGCGGACGGGUGAGUAAUGUCUGGGAACCUGCCUGAUGGAGGGGGAUAACUACUGGAAACGGUAGCUAAUACCGCAUACCAUCGGAUGUGCCCAGAUGGGAUUAGCUAGUAGGUGGGGUAAAGGCUCACCUAGGCGACGAUCCCUAGCUGGUCUGAGAGGAUGACCGGCCACACUGGGACUGAGACACGGUCCAGACUCCUACGGGAGGCAGCAGUGGGGAAUAGUGCGCAAUGGGCGAAAGCCUGAUGCAGCCAUGCCGCGUGAAUGAAGAAGGCUUUCGGAUUGUAAAAUCCUUUCAGCAGGGAAGCGUUACCCACCGAGAAAGCAACGGCUAACUACGUGCCAGCAGCCGCGGUAAUAC